GGGGGUGUAGUUCAGUUGGCAGAACAUCUCUUGUACGUUCCUGGGUUCAAUCCUCAACAUCUCCA